GAUGAACGCUGGCGGCGUGCCUAAUACAUGCAAGUCGAGCGAACGGACGAGAAGCUUGCUUUUCUGAUGUUAGCGGCGGACGGGUGAGUAACACGUGGAUAACCUACCUAUAAGACUGGGAUAACUUCGGGAAACCGGAGCUAAUACCGGAUAAUAUUUUGAACCGCAUGGUUCAAAAGUUAAAGACGGUCUUGCUGUCACUUAUAGCUGGAUCCGCGCUGCAUUAGCUAGUUGGUAAGGUAACGGCUUACCAAGGCAACGAUGCAUAGCCGACCUGAGAGGGGGAUCGGCCACACUGGAACUGAGACACGGUCCAGACUCCUACGGGAGGCAGCAGUAGGGAAUCUGCCGCAAUGGGCGAAAGCCUGACGGAGCAACGCCGCGUGAGUGAUGAAGGUCUUCGGAUCGUAAAACUCUGUUAUGAGGGAAGAACAUAUGUGUAAGUAACUGUGCACAUCUUGACGGUACCUAAGCAGAAAGCCACGGCUAACUACUU
rnacentral:rRNA from 1 species